AGCUCUAAGGAGACAAAUUUGCCCAGUGUUUUUUCACUUUGGAAUUGAAAUACUUAGUGGGUACUCUUAAUUGAAGCUAAUUUUGGUCUGAUAAUGGUUGUGAAUUCGUCUAUUGGGUUUCUUCCUGCUAAAUUAUAUUUCUUUUAUCAAACCCAACAUUGCAUCAAUUGGAUAAAGCUCAAUGGAGAGGGUCAACGUUGCCCCAUGAAUUUUUCCAAGGUUUUCACUUUCAUGUAUCAGGAAAGACUGCAUUUUUAGAUGUUAUUCCUAUAGAAUUGAAGCUGUUCUAGUGCUUGGAAGGCUCCAAUUGAUGCUGUAGUUUUGAAAUCUGUAUUUCAUUUUCUUCUACAUUUCACCACAUUCUUACGUUUGUUCUAAGUUUAGAUUUCACUGAGGCAUGUUGGAUAUCACUUGAAUUUUCUGACUUUUGAGCUUAGUAUUAUCUUUACAUGCAUAUAUAAAGAUAGAUGCUUUGAUAUUUAAAAGAAGAAACGAGUUGCGUUUUAGGUUCAUACAAUACCAACUGAACUCAAUUAUGAUUCUUUAAAUGGUCUGUAUCUUUCGAUAUUCCUAGUGUGUGGGAAUUCCUCUCAUUAAGAAAAACGAAAGAAAGAUAGAUUGAUGAUUGAUGAUGCUUCUUUUUGUUGUUUCUCUUGUGUUUGUUUUUGUUAUAUGAUGUAUGUCAGUUUGUAAUCUAUGAAGUUGAUUGGAUAAUACCUCUGUUCAAGAUGGGGUAGGGAGUAUUCCAAAGGAAUUUAUGGCAGGUAGUGGCCUGCCAUCUCUCGGUCGUGUGAAGCUAGCUGAUCUCGUACCUUCUGAAGGCCUUCCAUCAGAUUCUUACAAACUAUCUGUUUCAACUUUACAUUGGCGCAGUAUUCCGCUGCCAUUAUUCAAUUUUCAGUGAGUGAUGGAGCUCUUUUAAGGUCCUGUUUAAGUUCUGCUCGCCUCUACUUCCAUCAAAGAGCAUCAUACCCAGCUCCCGACAUUGUUCAUACCAAUGACCCAGCUCGCCAUUUUCUGAAAUACUUGCCAAUGUUCCAUUAAGAAAUCGGGAAAUAUCUUCCUCAGUAUUGUCCGUCUGCUGUCAUGCAACACCAUCAUUUCAAGGAGCACAACAUCGCAACAAGUCCAUUUCUGUCCAAUUGUGAGGGUGAAAAGGUUGUACUCUAAUUUUUGCUACGGUCAACCCCGUGGCCUUCCCAUUGUGAGGGUGAAAAGGUGUGGAAUCUCCUUGUUGUAUGCCCGAGAUGUUAGAAAAUUACUUGGAAGCAUGGAUGAAGAUGUAGAACACAACGAAGUUAGAGAAGAAGAUAUCAUUUGAAAUAUCAGAACAAAUGCUAUUUUAUGAGGUAUGUCUGACGCUCGCAUUGAUAGCUUUAUUUUACACUUUCAUGGCUCUGCUCUGCAUAUCCUCAGAAGUCAGAACCUACCCAUAUAUAUCCGAAAUGUCCAAAACAAGUUGACUUCUCCUGUACUAGUUUGCCACGUAAAAUCUUGUAUUUUGUUUUAGAUCUUGAUCAUUAAGAAUACUAUAGUAAUAAGCUUCUUAACAGCUCAGUUCUUUCCCGGCUGGUGUUAACUCAAGAUGGGCUUGUGUGGCGCUACACAUGGAUUGAUAGAACCCAAAGUUGGUUCCUGUAUAUGACUGACAAUUUUGCACUUUUUGGUGCACAUGGUGCCUGUAAUUUUGAGAACUCCCCAGUAUGUAGCUGUUUAAAAUGUUCUGUACCAAAGCUUCCAAAAGAUACGGACACAAUGGAUUGGUCAAAUGUGUGUGUCAGAAAGACUCCGCUAGAUUGUGACGGCAACAAGUUUCAGAAGUACUCUGGGGUCAAUUUUUCCAAACACAGAACCAUCCUGGUUUAACGAAUGUUUGAGCCUUAAGGAAUGAGAGAUGGCGCGCAUGAAGAACUGUUCCUGCUCAGCUUAUUCAAAUUUGUAUAUUAUUGGAGGAACUGGUUGCUUGAUGUGGUUUGGGGACCUGAUUGACAUUAGAAAUCUCACUCAAAAUGGGUAAGAUAUUUACAUGAGGAUGGCAGCAUCUGUACAAGAUCCUGAAGACUAUACAAAGAUCAAUGUUAAACCGGCUGGAUGCAAUGUGUAGAAAAGGAGGAUCAUAAGCUGUAUUGUGCUACUCCUGGGCCUAGCCCUCUGGCUAUAUAUUUGAGAGAAGCAAACGUCGAAAAGAUGGAAAAGUGGGGAACAUCAAGAAGGAAGAUCUGGAAUUACCAUUGUCUGACUUGGCUACUAUUGUCGACAGAAACAGCUGUUCAAACCACAAAAAGCUUGUAGGAGGAGGUUUCGGAUGUGUCUUUAAGAUGCCUUCCGGCCUACAUGGCGCCCAUAUAGUUUUAGUCAUAACAUGGACUGUUGAAUACAAUUGGCGAUCUAAGGAUAUUCAUCCUUUUAUGGCAGGAGCUUAUUUAGCCAUGGUGGAAUCCUAAUGCUUUUUGUGCAUGAAGCAUCCUUUUGUACAACAGUUCCGAGAUGUAUCCCAGAGAAUGAGAUCGAGAA